UGCUGACAAAAUGUUAGGUUUCAUGACGAAAAUCAAGAAACUGCUGGAAACGGUCUGCCACAACUGUGGCAAGAUAUUAGUAGAUGAAAGUAACCCAGCUUUUGCGGAUGCUAUACGUCGUCGAGACCCCAAGAAACGCUUCGACUUGGUGUGGCGGCUUUGCAAACCCAAGAUGAUCUGCGAGACCACUAUGGCCUUGGACGAUGACGCCCCCCAAGACAAGACGAAAGAGCCGAAACAUGACCAUGGUGGCUGUGGAAACAUACAACCUGAGGUGCGACGAGAAGGACUCCGACUGACUGGUACUUGGAAAGCCCAAAAAGGUGACGAGGAGAACGAGGGUCAGCAGCCUGAGAAGAAACCUAUCACACCACAAAUGGCUCUCAAUAUCUUCCGUCACAUAUCUACAGAGGAUAUUAAACGAAUGGGAUUGAGCAAUGAUUAUGCACGUCCUGAAUGGAUGAUCAUCACUGUGCUUCCCGUGCCACCUCCGCCUGUACGGCCGAGCAUUUCUGUGGAUGGAGGUAACGGUCCCCGUGGCGAAGACGACUUGACAUAUAAGCUCGGAGAUAUUAUCCGUGCAAACGGCAAUGU
rnacentral:rRNA from 1 species